GUGGGGAAUAUUGGACAAUGGGCGCAAGCCUGAUCCAGCCAUGCCGCGUGAGUGAUGAAGGCCUUAGGGUUGUAAAGCUCUUUCAGUGGGGACGAUAAUGACGGUACCCACAGAAGAAGCCCCGGCUAACUUCGUGCCAGCAGCCGCGGUAAUACGAAGGGGGCUAGCGUUGUUCGGAUUUACUGGGCGUAAAGCGCACGUAGGCGGAUCGUUAAGUCGGGGGUGAAAUCCUGGAGCUCAACUCCAGAACUGCCUUCGAUACUGGCGAUCUUGAGUCCAGAAGAGGUGAGUGGAACUCCUAGUGUAGAGGUGGAAUUCGUAGAUAUUAGGAAGAACACCAGUGGCGAAGGCGGCUCACUGGUCCGGUACUGACGCUGAGGUGCGAAAGCGUGGGGAGCAAACAGGAUUAGAAACCCUUGUAGUCC
rnacentral:rRNA from 1 species